rnacentral:lncRNA from 1 species
GAAGAUGGGGUUUGUAGUCAGAGUAGGAAGAUGAGAGGUAGGGGAAAGAAGAUGGGUAUGGGAGGAUUAUAUAGUGUGUCCAUGGUUAUCUGGGCUGCAUUAUAGUCGAGCAAAAUUGGAACCAUUGACUUCAUGCAUGGUUAUCUGGACAUAGUAAAUAGUCCAUGGUUUCAGCAUAGCAACGUAUUAAGGACUAAAUUUUAGCAUUCAUGUUAUCUGGAUUCCAUAGUAGAUAGUCCACAAUUUCAGCAAUCAUGCAUGGUUAUCUGGAUUCCAUAGUAAAUAGUCCACAAUUUCAGCGCAGAAUGCAGCACUAUAUUAAAUGCACCACAGAAUUCAGGAGUU